GGAAUUUUUUGAACCAAUCAUGCACUAUGGUUAACAUUACCUAAAUUAACUCCUUGCAUAUUAUAAAUAUAGCUGUUCAUAACAAAUGGUUUAUACAGUACUAUUGUAACUCAAGUGUUACUUUAUUAUCUGAAAGCAAUGUUCUGCUGUGUCAAAUCUAGUCCUCAGAUUUGUAACUGAUCUGAAUCUGAUUUGAUCUGAAAUUGAUGAUUCCCAGUGUCAGUACCGUUCCAUAAACUUCAGUAAGCUGCAUGAGAGCUCACCGCUAAGCUACGUCUGCAACAAAUUCUGCCUUUAGCACAGGAGUCAAUAUCAUGGUCUGAUGUAGGUAGAGUUCGGAAAGGAGGCAUAGUUCAGCUAGAAAUCAUCCUCCUACGCUGCCUAUUCUAAAAUAUAUAAAAGUCUAUUUCUGAUUUACUCUGAGUACAAUAAUCCCGCUCAUGUGGAGCAGAGGCUUUUCCAGUGAGGAGUCAAUUGAGGGAAGAGGGCUUGUAUUGCUCUCCGUCUGAGAGAGAAAAACAGACCUGAACACAAGCGCGACUGACCCACAUCAUUACCCUGAACAUGAAAAAAUGUUUACAGGUUUGAGACACAAAGCCACAACCUCAGCCCUGGCUCUCUUUUAUGAAGUUCUGUUGUGCUGCAGUGUCUGCUGUUGAUGGAUAGUGUGCUGCUCUGGCUUUAGCUGCAGUGUACGGCACUGGCUUCUGAAGGUGCCCUUGAUGUUUCAAUAGGGUGCCGGUUCUUCACAAUCA
ensembl:lncRNA